AGUAAAAUCGCCAGUGUAAAAAUUCCAGUGUUAAAAGUUAUCUAUUCCUAAAGUGUUAAAUUAACAAUCUACAGUGUUAAAGGGUACUCCCCUUCAGUGUAGCCUACAGGGUGCCACAUAGUGUAAUUUUAUUUUUACACUGAAAGUGUAAAAAGACGCGCCGAAUUGUAUUGACUCCGCCCCUCGAUGCUUCUGCCUCACAAGACGACAGCGCCAUUUUAUCUUCAUGCGAGGAGCGAGACGACAUCAUGAAAGUUGCGUUCCCGCCUCCAGUCGCGCCAAGGCCUGGGUUAAAGACGAGCCUGGCGCUGAAGCUGACGAGGAGGUCUGAAGCGGCACCAUUUGGGCUUUUUGAGAGAAUUCUUCAAAUGAUUUUGCCCAGACCCCUGCAGUGUCAAGUGAAGGAAGCUCCUCUCAUGAGAAUGCAAAGAGAAAUGAAGAAAGAAAUAGAAUGCUGAAGAUUAAUCCAUAAUUAAGAUCUCAGCUUAGUUCCUGGAAAUGCUUCAAGCAUGAAGAGCUUCAAGGAACUGAUUGACUCUGCUGUGAAAGAUGAUAAGUGAUGAGAAUGGGGCAGCAAUCUUGCAUCAAUUUGUCUCCUCCUUGAUUUGAUUCCACCACCCUGGAAAGACAUGGAAAGAUGUGCUCAUAUCAAGCUGAACAACACCUUGUUGUCUUCAAAAGGAGACCAGCGUACAAGAACACCUUGAUUGCAUUGAACCGACCACACAGCAUACCUGCUCGCUGCCGGUGGGGAUCAACUCAAAUACUACUAUACCUGCUCGCUGAUGGGACAAAGAGGGACUGCAUUCAUGGAUGCUACACAACUGUUGACAAGUAGAUUUUUGCAAUCUUGUUCAAAUCCACCUGUCAUAUUUGUUAAUGUAUAGGCAAACUGGGUGAUUUUAUGCUUUUUCCCUUUUCUCUUUUUUUUCUCUGCUAAACUCCUAAUGAAUGUGACAAUUUGACUUUUUCCAUAUAUGGCAUAUGUUUUAAAGGGGCCACUUUGCCAUUUGUUGAAUAAACUUUGGAUUUGUA